GGCCGCACCGCGCUCCCUGCAGGCGAGGCAAGGCGGCUGGAAAGUUGUUGAGCGGGGAAAGUUGCGAGACAAAAGCGAGGGGAGCGCGUCUCCGCUCCUUUGUUCUGCGUGGGGCGGGAGAGGAGGAGGAGGAGGAGGGGGGUGAGGACCUUUGCGAGAGAGACCGGCUGAGCCAGAGGCGCGCUCCGAGAGCUGGCGCGACCAGCAGCAAUUAGACUCUCCCUGCAGAGCCCCCCUCAGCAAACCCAGCCGGGCGCUGGCAGGAGGAAGGUGCAUCCCUCUCCAAGGUCAAAGUGUGUUGGAGAAGCAUGAUGGCUGCCAAAGCACCUUAGAGCUGUACUGCAUUACUGCUUAAUUCAACUGUGGAUAUUUCACUGGGACCUGGGAUAGGAGAAACUGGGAAUGAAUAAAGACAUCAAGCAUCAUCAUUUGGAUUUACACACCAGUUAAUGAACUGUUAGAAGUAGUGGAUGUGGCUUUUAAAUCAGAAAAUGUGCAUAAGAUGCUGAUGAAAAUGUUUUGGAGUAGAUCACUUUUUGACACAGGUUCUACCAGUUGAAAUAAGGUGCAGCAAAAUUAAUUCUCUGCUAUGCAGUCGGAUGUAGAUGUUUGAUAGUGCAUUUCAAAGGCAAUAGCUGGAUUUUGAACACCAGGAUUGUUGAAUAAAACAGUUCUGUGGAUGAACACCCAGCAAUCUGUGAUUGGAUCAACUUUUUCAUGAAUAGUAACUGUUCAGUGGUGACUCAGCUGUUGUAACUAGAAACCAGAGAUUUUCCUCUUCUGUUGAAUUGUCCAGCUGUCUUCCUACUGUAUGGCUGCUGAACAAUUAUUAUUAGGAAUGUUUGAUGAAUAUUCUUCAGGUAGGAAAUCAGAAAACUAUUCCCGAAACAAAGCUGUUACAUGCACUCUGAACGUGGAGGAGACACUCCUAUCUGUCUUUAGGAAGUACACUAGUCGAAAGGAGAUCUCUAAGAAUAUUCUGUGCUCUGAGGUAUGAAUCAUGUCAGUACAGUGAAAGAUGAAGAUACGCAUUUCUGAAGUAGGAGUGUGCAUAUGAUUAAAGGAUUUGAACAGAGGACUCCGAACUGUAGUUCCUUCCUGCUCCAGGAGGGAUACCUGAGGUACCAAAGCUCUGAAGAACAGCAGUGAGGAACUCAAUGAUAGCUGCUCUCUCUCAGAGCCUUCCAUCAAAAGACAACAUUCUCCCCAAAGAAAGGACUGAUUCUUUUUGAAGGUAAUGUCUUCAUUCUGCUAUCAAACGUCAUUAAGGGCAACGGUAACAUCAUCUGUCUCAGCAGCAGCAUUAGGUUAACACAGUGAUUGGCAACCUACAAAUGCCAGGCACUUGGAAGCAGCACACCACAUCUUAAGUUUACAUCUUUUCCAUACUCUGCUCUGGCCAAGAAUCCACUGGAGAGACCCUGCAUGCAAAACCUCCAACUAAUCAGUGGCAGCAGGUUCCUGUCAAGGCCGGGGCAGCUCAUACAACUGCUGUGCCUGCUCCCCAGACACCCCUUGGGAACAGGUAUGAGGCCCUGGCUCCUCUGGAGGAGAAGGCAGAAGAACAGAUCCCCAGAGUCAUUGAUGCUGCUCGACCUACAACACGGGCUGAGAAGAGGCAGACCCUGAGGAGGAGGCGGCGUAAAGUUCUGGUCAUUGGGGACUCCAUCCUGAGGGGAACCUAUGGUCUAAUCUGUCGCUCUGAGCCCUGGUCAAGCAGGUUUGCUGUAUGCCCAGAGCGAGGAUUUGGGACAUCAUGGAGACCAUCCUGAAAAUCAUCAAGCCCUCUGACUACUACCCACUGGUUGUGGUCCAUGUGGGGACAAAUGAUGCAUCCAAGGGCAAGCCGGACAACAUCAUGGAAGACUACAAGGCCUUGGGACACCAACUGAAGAAGAUGGGAGCUCAGGUGCUAUUUUCCUCCAUUCUCCCAAUUGGCUGAUCUCGUACAGCGGGUUUAAACUAGCUUCACUGGGGGAAGGGUCCGCUCCGAGUGGAGAGGAUGCUUCGCCAGCAUGCAGGGUGACAAGAGAAAGGGAUGCCCAGAUCCAUCGUUUUUGGUGUGGAGGUGAUAACAAGAGAACUUUCUACCUGUCUCAGAUGCUGGAAAAGUGUGUUGUCAUGAUUCCAAGAUGAUGACCUUGGUAUGGGGAUCAGGUACUGUUUUGAUGGAGAUGUCUUCAACCUGCGCAGGCUCUGAGUGAGCUCCAAAGUCCAGCCAUGCUUCAUGACUUCCUCUUCACUGACAACUGUGCAUUAUAAGGAGGAUCACAGGCUGGCAUCCAUGCCACGAUCCAUGAACCUAUUCUUGUCAACCUGUGACAACUUCAAACUCACUAUUAACAUGAAGAAGACCUGAAGUGAUGUUUCAACCUGCACCUGUCACAACACCCCGGGAACCACAUAUGUCAGUUAAAGGCCAACAACUGUUGGUGGUCAACAACUUUGUCUAUCUAGGCAGCACAUUCUCCCAUGCUGUCCACAUCGAUGACUGUGGCAGCACACCUUUGGGAGCUUGCCAUGCUAGGGGCUGGAGGCAGACACCUGGCAGGUGCCUGAUUAGGGCAGCCAUUUUAAGAUCCAGUGUAGUUUCCUGUGGCAUUCGCUUGAGCGUUUUGCCUUUUUGGGCUGAUUGUGUGUGGCUUUCUCCUUGCGGGUCAGCAGCUUGCCCUCCAAUGGGAAUCUCUAAGGUUCCCAGGGGUUCUUUCCUGCCACAACUUGAUGUUAAGGAUUAUUGCUGGGAGGAAGUUUUCAAAUCCUGCCUCUCCAGGUUCCCUCUUUGAUCUCUCACUUAGGUCUUUGUCUCGGGGCUCUGCCUCCCCUUCAGCCUCACUUAGGCCAACCAGAGAUGAUGUUAGGUCUUGGCUGAGGCUAACCCAAAGUCAACCAGCCAUGGCUGGGACUUAGCCCCUAUUUAAUCUCAGUCCCAGUUCAGAUGGUGUACUGUCCUUGUCCCGGCCUCACAUCAGCCUACCUCAUUGUUGCGUGUACCCCGGGGCACCUUCGUUCAGGGCUCACUCCCUCCCCAGGUGUUACUUACAGCUUUUAAUAUCUUUCCUCUUUUCCUCUCUAUGUAGACUCACCACUGUCCCAGUUUCUGUCAGCUUCGUCCGUAAUCCAUGGCUUCGUGAGAGCUCCUGCAGCAGCAUGGCUUUUGUUCUUGUGGUGGCAUCUCUACUGCAGUACCUUUGAUCUCGGUGGCAUUCUGCGGCCACUGCUUUUCCCUCCACUCCAGCACCAGAGGCUCGCCGCCAUCUCAGUCUCUAUCGGCUUCAUCUGGGAUCCAUGGCUUCAUGAGAGGUUCAAACCAUACUUGGAUGUGGCUGAGGUGAGCAUCGAGAUUAAGUAAGGCAUAUACAAUGACCAAGAAUGUGAAGAAAGGUAAGGUAUUGCUUAAAAAUUUCCCUUCAAGCAAAAUCUGGUGGCUAGAGAGACCAUUUUCCUUUCCUUUCUGUUCUUUCCAUCUCUCCAUCACUUCUGCACUUGACAGAGGAUGGGGAAAAAUGGCAGUGCAGUUUCAGUAGUGAAUUUUAUGCAGAUUCAGUACUUACAGUGACACUGCUUUAGAGAGCCUGUGAUUAAUGAUCAUACACAGCUUCACUAUGAAUAAGAAAAGGACAGACUUCUUCAGUUGCAGAAAAGCAUUGUGUGCAGUGAUACAGAAUUUCAGGGGUCUCUAACAUGAAGGCACAACUUUACUUACUGUGUGGGUGGUGUUUGUACCUUAAAUUAAUGCUAAUAAUCAUCAAGAACAUUUAAUUAUAUGCACAGGGUAAUAAAUACUCAAUUUCCUUUGAAGCUCUUUAUAUUUAUUUAUUUAUUUAUUUCUGCAGGUACAGCAGCUCUAUUCAGAAAUGCUUUUUUGGGGUGGGGAAGGGUUUUUCCCUGCAGGAAUUGAAUGGGAUAUUUUGUUUCUACCCAUCCACCUAUUAAUUAUUUCACAACUGUUUGUGAAGGCCUUGGCACCUCAUAGCCAUAGGAAAUGUGGCUAGGUUUGAUUCACCCAAUGAGGACCUGAGCCACCCAAAUCCAUAUUUGUGUAAAUGUCAGGCUAUAUAUUUUUUUGAACUGUACACCUUGAGGGUGACUUGUAUAGGGAGGGUAUUUAAUGUAACAAAGGGCACUUUUAUACAUGAUCCAAUGUGUUUUGAUCAGAACGCCUUUUUAGUGACACUAAGUAGCCUAACAAUACUGCACAGUAACGUGUUAGCAUUGUUAGUUAGCAUGCUAAUACUAUGCAGUUAGAGUCUCGUAUAGAUGCACCCUCUUUGGAGUACUGGAGUUCCAGUUAUUUUUCUCUAUUAUUUUCUGAGGAGGCAGUAACCAAAUUUUACUUGUGGAAAGUAUUCAAAAUUUUCCAACUUCAUUAUAUUCCAAUAGCCCUUUCUGUAAUUGACAGUUGCAUGCAAAUGGGGUCCCAUCUAUCGACUGUGUGUGUGCCUGUAUUUAUCUCUUGGAUGUAUUUAGGAGCUUCUAUAAUAGCCACCCCCAUAAUAUUGAAGCAUUUUCCAAUUAGUUAACAAUGGGAAUAGUAACAAUAUUUCUUUCCUCCUCUCUGGUUUGCAGACCUUGAUUAGUUGUGUGAAGUUCUUGUCAAGGGAGAGCCAAGUGGAAAAGAUAAAGACUGCAUUUACUGCCAAACGUGGUGACGCUUGUGAUCAUUGUUAUCCCUUGCAUACACAAAUCUAGGUCUCAUUCCUAUGAAUGUUGCGUCUCCUGUGCUCUCAAACGUACUCCAAGUGAUCAACAUUUUCCUGGGCCCUGCGGAAAAUAGCUGCUGAGGGAAACUAUAGUUCCAGAGGGACAGGCAACCUCUUAGGUAUUUAGUUCCAGACUCUUGGAGAUUGAGACAAUGACCAUAUAGUCUUUAUGCUUGUGCAGUGUGGCCUGCCGAGUCAAAAUAAUGUCGCCAGAUCUAUUCUUUUAUGGGCUGAUCCAGGACCAAGACCACAUGCUCUAAAUUGUAGGGCAGAUUUACCCUGUGAGAUGCUGUGUGACCCUGGGAUCCAGGGUUUCUAGGAUGUGUGGCUUUGGGGCAGAGCUAGCAGACAGACUAACUCAAGGUCAGGGACCUGAAGCUUCCAGGAUCUGUGACUCCUUUGUAUUCUAAUCACUGCUUUCUAUUUAGAAACUCUGCUUCCUGCAUGCAGUUCUUUCACAGCAUUUGAUGAAGUAAGCCUUCUGCUUAUGCUAUGCAUUCCUGAUUCAGUUAGCCUGUGAAGUACAAAUCUACCCUGCCUUCUGUCUGGCAUAGCCAGUUAUCUCCCAGUUUCCAAGCUGUUUGCUGUGAAAGCCUGAAUUUUCUGAGAGCUGUCUUUCUAAUGGGAACCAUAGGCCCUGGGAUCCCAGGCAGCUGUUCAGUGAAAAUGACAAAAAUGUCAAUUUUGCCAAGCAGUUGUAGAGCUUAGGGUGUAUAUUUUGUUGGUGUUUCUUAAAUAUUUCCAGGGAUUUGCAGGAAAUUAAAAAUAAAAAUUCUAAGCUUAAGUGCGCAUCCUGCCCACCCCACAGAAAUCUUGCUUUUCACUCGGCUGCCUCUCUGUUGCCUAGUGCUUUACAGAGCUAUCUACUUUGAUCUAGGCAAUUGCAGCAUAUUUUGCCUCAUUUUUCUGGUACCUGGGUACCUGGAUGUAUGUCCUGUGCAUUUCUGUAGCAGAGAACAUUAUAGGCAGCAUCUUGAUCAUUUAAGCCCUAAUGAGAAAAAGCCUCCCUCUGGCAAACCCAUUAGAAGUUGUGCCAAGCUUGCCUCAGCUGGAAGUGGCUCUUUCCAUAUCUUUCUGAUUUCAUAUGAAUUGUUUUCUCUUCCAGGGUUAUAAAAUAUCUGCGUCAGCAGGUAUAAUAGAUAAUCAAAUGAAAAAACAUCUAUACUGUGAUUAAAAUAGUUCUGCUCCCAACACAUUAUGCCAUGUAGGCAUGGGUGGUUUUGAUUUCAGGUACAUGUUAGAGUUGCUAAUAUACUCUGCAGAAAUUAUUGUGAAAAAAAAUAUCAAACUAUACACUAAAACAAGUAUUCAGCAGAUACUGAAAUUUGCUUUAAACCAGUGGGCACCCAGUUGGUGCCAUUUAGAUCUUUCGGCUGGGAAAGGAUAGGAGUUCUGAUUCAUUCAUCUUAUUUGCCUUGAGUGUGACUUGUUCUUUUUAAACAUCAUUUUUUUUUUUGUAAUUCUGAUUCCUUCUGCAAUCACUAUUUUAGCCCUCUCUUUCCCAUCUGAUAUUGAACUCCAGUGACAUUGAUGCAGAAGUAGCAAACAACAUGCUAGAGUAGGAGAAAAGGCUGUUUUUUAGUGCUUUUAGCAAUGUGACCUUAGGUAUUGAUUUAUAGCCUACUGCAGCGCUCCAGUGCAAAAGGGAACUGUGGUAAUUAAGUUAGUAUCUGCGCUUUCUAAAAUAGUGCUGAGUUGCAACAAAGAGAGACCCUUUAUUUUUCCUCUCUGCCUCUCAGUGAAUGCAGAUGCAGGCACUGACCUCUGACCCUUCUCAGCUUUCCCCAGCUGCAGCUGUUAUUUUUCUCUCUGUGUGCCUUUAGGUGCUGAUAGACUGAGUAAGAUCCAUUAAUUUUUGUGCUCGACUUUCUUUUUAAGCUUGCAAUGGAGCAAAUUUCUACAUAGUACCUGACUUUUAAAAUACUGUAUGUCCUUUUUUGGGUAAAAGAAAAGCAGACAAAAAUAUAGACAGGGCAACUCAUUCAGCAGGGUGGGUGGCCAUGAAAUGUCUCAAAUUUUAAAACCUUCUACACAAGGAUUUCUCACAUCUCACCGAGAUGAGUUCUUCCAGAAUUUGUAUACAUGAUGACAGAGCAAACACUUCAAGAAAUCUGUUUCGUAUUCCAUUAUGCUCAUUAGAGAAAUAGGGCCACAAAAGGUAAUGGUAAUAAAACCAAGUACCUUGAGGUAACUAUGUAAAUGAAUGCUAAUGUAUGCAAAUUAUCACACAAUGUUCAGUGUCCAUAAAAACGACUCAAUACAGCUAAUUAAAGGUAGGUAAGUUGCCUCAUUUUAUACUUCACAGAGUUAUGAUGAAGGUGGUAUAUUAUCAUAAUUAUAGAAUGUUUGCCUUGGGGGAAGUGUCUAAUAUUUCUCUUUCUUUUUCCUAUCAGGUUUGUCCAUUACAGUAGAAGUAAUCACCUUUUUCACUUUUUCACCCAAGGUCUUACAUUGGGAGAAGGCUCAGAAAUUAAAAAUCAAACAAACCAGUGCCCAUUUCUUUAAAUACUUUCUAAUGAACAUAGUUCUUUCUACUGUAAAUAUGGCCCCUGCUUUGCAAAGUUCUUAUAUGCAUGGUUCAUAGCAAUGGGACAAACGUACUUAAUGGUAAAUCCACAAAUGAAUUAAGGUGUUUUCCCAUUUACUCCAGCCUAGUUAUGCCACUGUGUAUGUGCAUACACUGAGGUGUAUGUGCUAAAGAAGCUACUUUUCAGAAACAGAGAGAGAGAGAGAGAUUUCACCCUUUAUACCGUGGAUAAUGGCUGAGGUUCCAGAAAACUCUAGGGCAGACAUACAAUCCAUACUCUAGGAGAGACAUGCCUACCUUGAAAAAAAAAGAGCCCAGGAAUUAUAGAUCAGUCAGUCUAACGUCAAUUCCCAGGAAGAUACUAGAACAGACAAUCAAACAAUCUAUUUGUAAGCACCUACAAGAUAAUAAGGUGAUAAAUAACAGACAACAUGGAUUUGUCAAGGAUAAGUCAUGUCAAAUCUUUCUUUCUAUGAAAGGGUAACAGGCCUUGUGGAUAAGGGAGGUGCAGUGGAUGUGAUAUAUCUUGACUUUAGUAAGGAUUUUGACCUUGUCUCACAUGAUACUCUCAUGAAUAACCUCAAGAAAUGUUGUCUAGGAGAAACUAAUGUAACAUAGCUACACAGGUGGUUGGAAAAGUAUACUCAAAAGGCGUGUCUACAUGUGCACAUACCCUUAAAUGUCAUUUAGCACUUACUUUAGCAGUCAUUUAGUACUUUAGCAAGUACUAAAUGACUGCGCAAUAGCUGCUGGUACUGUGCAGUCCUGGCACUGCAUGGGUCAUUUCUCCACCUACUGUGCAGUAAUUAGUAGUGGCAGCAUCACAGUUUAUAUCCACCAAUACUGUCACCAUAGUGACGAGCUACGUCACCAUAGCUUGUUACUACAGCGAUGUAGCAUCUUGUAGAGACAUGCCCAAAGAGUGGUUAUCAGUCUCAUUCUCAGGCUGGAAAGAUGUCUCAAGUGGGAUUGCACAGAGGUCUGUUCUGUACUUGUUAUUAUUCAGUAUUUUCUUUAUUUAAUGACUUGGGUAACAAAACAGAGAGUUCACUUAUUAAAUCUGUAGAUGAUCACAAGGUGGGAAAAGUUGCCGGCAUUUUUCAGGAUGGGGUUAGAAUUUUAACAAAUUAUCUUGAUAAAUUGGACAAAUGGUCUGAAAUAAAUGGAAUUUAUUUCAGUUUCAAUUUAAUAAAGACAAUUUAAUAAAGCACUUCAUUUAGAUAGGAAUACUUGUAAAUAGGGAACAAUUGGCUAGGCAGGAAUUCAAAAAAGGUUCUGAGGUUUUUGUAAGAUCACAGGUGGAAUAUAAGUCAUUAACAUUAUACUAUUGUGUGUAAAGUAAAACAUCUUACUAGAGCAUCAGAUGCAAGGUGCCAUGAAAUAGUCCUUCACUCUACUGGGCACUUAUAAGGCCUCAGAAAGAGUACUGUUUUUGGCACCACACUUCAAGAAAGAUAUGGACCAAUAGGUGACAGUCUAGAGGUAAUAAACAAACUCUAGAAAAAAAAUCACCUGUGAAGUAAGAUUGAAAGAACUGGAUUUCUUUAAUUUUGGGAAGAGAAAACUGAGAGGGAAAAAAGAUACAGGUCUUCAAAUCUGUGAAAUGUUACUGCAGAAAGGAAGCUUAUAAAAUCUUCUCCUUGUCCACUGGGGAUAGGGUUUAAAAUGGAGUAAGGGAUAUUUAAGUUACACAUUAGAAAGGAGUUUGCUUGAAUAGUUGAGCACUAGAAUAGAUUAGCUGGGUAGGUUAUGGAAUCCUGAUCUUGGGGGGAAGGUGUGGCAGCGAACAAGUUAGAUGAACAUCUGUCAGGAAUGGCUUAGGUACAAUGAAUGUUUUAGAUUUUGCCUUGGAGCAGGAGAGUGGUGCUCAGCCUAUGGCUCAUGGGCCAGAUCCAAUCCCUGAAGUUACUCAAUCUCUCUUUCUCUCCCUUUUCCUUUCUCUCUCUCUUCUCUCCCUCGCCCAACUAAGGCUGCAAACAAAUGUUGAAUUUGACCUGGGAAAAAGUGCGGUUGUUCAGAUGCCCAUGUCUGUUUUUUCUGGGACAAACCCUAAAAAGGUGAAUGGCAUUAAGAAGUGCUAACACUGUCCUGGGACAUCACAAAGUACAUCUGAACAAUGGUUCUGCGAUCACAUCAUUGAAUCAAUGGCAGAAAUGUGGUGGUGCAUUCAGUCACUCAUUAAAUUCUUAUUGGGCAGGCAAUGUGAGCACAUGCCAAUUUUGGGAUUUUUCUGUUCUGGGACAAGCAGCACAAGCACAAACACCACAUAUCCCAGAACAAAUGAAAUGUCUAUUCCUAGCCUAAUAGUUAUAUGAAGUGGAACAGCUUUGGUGGAAGAGACUGUGAAAUGCUUGCUCCAUAGUAUCCAGUAGGUUGGUAGCUCAUGAACUGCAUGGAGAAAUUUGAAACGACAUGCAUGGAGGAAUCGUUUUAUUUAAAAAACAUGCUGGUAUUUAAUUAUGGCUAAGGCUCCAAGAAGCAUGGUGGUGGUGGGACAUAGUGUGUGUGCAUUUGGUGUUUAGCAGGGAUUGGGUAGAUUAUAAUGAGCUGUGAAGUCUGUCACAACCCAAUGAUUUUAGUGCCUUGGCACGAUGGAAUUUUCCCGCCACAUGAGAGUCUCUUGCACAGCAAAAGUUUUCUGCUGCAACAGAAAACUCCGGUGCAAGAGAGUUCCUGCCAUUCGCAUGCAAAUUUGUGUCCCGCUAUUGGCCAGUUCUAAAUUAUUCCUAUGUGGCGGCUAGUAAUUGGCUUGCUGGCCGUAUAAAAUUUUGUGCGACUUCCGCCCAAGUCAGAGAACUUUGAGCACGCUGCAGAGUGCCUCUAAAGAUAUCUGACUUGCGGCUGAGCUGAUCAAUAGCCUGAUCACCUAUCGAUUCUUCUCCCCAUCGCCGAGCGCAAUCCUUCGACGUACGCUUUCCCUGCUGGCUUAAUUUGUGGAGGGAUUAGCUGGCCUGAGCCUUGCCGGCUGGAGCAACUCGUGGAGUUGUUUAAGCGACCGGACCACCUGCGUCGCGGCUGCUAGCGGCAUAAGUAAAGUUUUUGCAACCAAUACGCUUUGUCUGCCUCUCCAUUCACCAGCCCGCCCAAACGACCGAGCAGUUUGUAUAUCACCUCGAGUUGGCUCCGGCCGUCCGAGGCAAAGUCAAGUGACUUCCUCUGCACUGCCUGACUAGAAAUACUGCUAGGUAGUUGGUUUUAACUUUGAGUGGAACAGGAAUCAAAGGGAGUUGCAAGUGAAUCAGUGAACCCCCACUGGAUCCACCUCUGCUUCUCGCAUUAGGUGGCAGCUAAGUGGAGGUUUUGAAUGAUGCUUAAGGGCUAGUGAUUAGGCAGUUAACAGUCACUUUCCAAGGCUAAGUCCCUUUGUAGAUCCAGCCAUGUGUGUGUUGCUGAAUAAGGAUGAUUUUAAGCAAAUGGCUAAGUACUGUGCUGAAUUUGGGCAAUUUUAAGUGUUUGCAGAAUUGGCCUUUAUUAGUGCGGUUCGAUUUUUUCAUAUGAGUAAAAUGAGCACGAAGGCAUUUGAGCAACCUUAGAUCAUCAGUUGCCCACAGUAAGCUCCAGAAAUGGUCAUUGUGGUUGAUGAAUGCUGUCCCUUAAAUAUACACUUUCCUUUGUAAGUAAUUACAGUAACUUGUUUUCAAUAUUGGACUUUAUGGCGGGGAAGGUGAUUCUUUAGAAAAUUAUGGGCCUUAAUCCUCCGAUGACAAGGCUGUGUGAUUCAGUGAUGGGGUAAAACAAAAUAGCUUUCUCUUGCUGACUCUAUAGUCAGCUACAGUGUGGCCCCUGGUGAAAAUUAGAGGAACAACAAGGCUCUUCUCAUGUGCAUCCAGCUUCUUGAACCCCCAAGUUGCUGUUCUGAUGGCUGGUGUUUCCCAGAGUGUGAUCUGUCCUACACUUCUGUUCCCCAGGCAGGCCCCUGAUGCAGGUCCUAGUUGAGUCUUUGAGAAAGCAGGAUGGGAAGCCAGUGUUGCAGCCCCUGAGAUGUAUCGGCUGUUACAGUCCAGUUGACAGUUGUUUAUAUAUUAAUACUAGAGAUUUUUUAUGAGUGUUAUGAAUGACAACACAUGUUUGUAUGGUAUGCUUAUAAUAUAAGGAGUCUACAUUACCAGAAUCUCUGAGCUGUCCUCUCACCACUGAAUAGUAGGGGCUCUAAUGAAAUCAGUACUCUAGGAUAUGUGAAAAGCUUCCUGUCAUCUGGCUGUCCCUUGCACUGAUAGGUUUUCCUUCAAACGAGUUCAGGCUACUCCUGGCCUAAACCGUCCCUUUUUCCAGUGUCCUGUGCUAGUCUCCUAGGAGUGCUUGGAAGUGGCCUUAGAGGUCUGUGUGUCAUGUUGCUGCUGCUCUUUUCUCUUCAGGAAACUGCAGUGGUUACUUCUGAUGCGGGGCAGCUUUGUUAGUCUGAAGUCAGACAGAAGGCAGGACAGGGUGACACCUAGGAGGCUAACAUGUCCAAAAAUAUAACAAAGCUUACAGGAUAAUAGGGCUGUGCAAAGCUUUGGUCCCUGAUUGAAUUUGGCAGAGAUUCGGCCCGAUUCAGUGGCCGAAUCUCUGAAUCCAAAUCAAAUUGAAUCAGAACCCUCAUGGAGUGUCCCACAGGAGCACAGGGGCUCCCCAGCAUGGUCAGCA